AACAAGAACAAAAUUGAAUGAACGCAUGUUUCACGAUCUGGAUCGAUUCAUUCACAAGUGCGACCCAUUAGUUUGUGAAUGAUACCUCUAAUUUUUUUUUGUAAUUAUAAAUAAAAUGUAAUGGCUAGUCAAAAUAUUUCUACUCAUUAUUUAAUAUGAAAAAAUUAUAAAUAAAAUGUAUAAGGCUCACAACAACUUCUGCUUACAUAAUGUGGUCAUAUCACAAAAGGUUGGAAACCCCUAACUUAGAGGGUGGGUUAUUACUUUUUCUUGCAGUAAAAUGGUGUGCGAAUAGUAAUGAUAUGUAAUGUAAUUUAUCUAUUCAAUAAUUAAUAGGGACAACACUCGUCAAAUUGAUGAAAUAGUUACACAAAAACUGUCCAAGUUAACAUAACUUACGUGGUCAUUCAUAUCGUCCAAAGAAUUGUUGUUAGUGUUUGAUGUCCCGGAUGUGCUGGGGCCGGUUUCUUCGUUAAAAUCGCUCAUCCUGUUUUAUCUGGUUCUCAAAUGGUAUUUUUUCUACCAACCGGUGUGAUCAAAGUAAUAACAAAAAAAUCGUCUCACCGCCAGUCAAAUAAUUGGGUUUUCGAAAGAAACCACACGAAUUUGAUAAAUUACAAACGGUUAAACAGUAAUAUUUUCCAUACAAUAACUGUUGUACCUACACGAAUGAAUAUGCCAGAGAGUUUAUCACAGGAGAACGAACAUUUUUUUAAUUUGAGGUUACAAGGAAUUUUAUCAAUAAAGUUGUAAACUUGAUUAAAAAUAAUCAAUAGUUUAUAACUCAUUUUACUAUUACUUAGUAUAUUAAUUAGUGUUAUCUAGUUAGUUAAACUUAAUGUGCUUAAUUUAGUGUUAUAAUCAUAACUUGUUGUGUAUUAAUAUUUUGACAACAUUCAAAUUGCAUUAUAAUUAAUAAUUAUGUACCAAAAUAAUACCAUUGAUAAUCAAUCAUAAUACGUUAUUAGAAAAAAAAUAUACAUAAAUUACAAUUCUGAUUUAUGAAAAUUUAGUAUAGUAAUAGUAGAUACUCAAUUGAAUUUAUUCAUGUCUGAAAUGG